UAAUACGUAGGGGACGAGCGUUGUCCGGAUUCAUUGGGCGUAAAGAGCUCGUAGGCGGUCCAGUAAGUUGGGUGUGAAAGCUCCGGGCUCAACCCGGAGAGGUCACCCAAAACUGCUGUGACUAGAGUCCAGUAGAGGAGCGUGGAAUUCCUGGUGUAGCGGUGAAAUGCGCAGAUAUCAGGAGGAACACCAGCAGCGAAGGCGGCGCUCUGGGCUGGAACUGACGCUGAGGAGCGAAAGCGUGGGUAGCAAACAGGAUUAGAUACCCUGGUAGUCCACGCCGUAAACGUUGGGCACUAGGUGUGGGGAGGAAUCAACCCUUUCUGUGCCGUAGCUAACGCAUUAAGUGCCCCGCCUGGGGAGUACGGCCGCAAGGCUAAAACUCAAAUGAAUUGACGG
rnacentral:rRNA from 1 species